rnacentral:lncRNA from 1 species
CCUGCGUUUACAGACAAAAAGACCUCAGAAAUGGGAAGAGGACAGCCUUUGGGUGAGAGCUGACUGGAGUCUGUUGGAAGCAGGGAAGCUGCUUGUUACAGGGCCUUGCAUUGCCAUCACAAAAAUACCAAGACAACCUACGUUGAAAGCAGUAGUGCAUUGAGCUCACAAUUUUGGAAGUCUGAGGGAAUGACACACAGCUGAGUCCACUCUGACGGCAGUCCACAGUUGGGCGUGUGUUCCGCAGGAG